UGCCAUGCAUUGGGGUAGAUGUCGGG
rnacentral:piRNA from 1 species